CUGUCGUCUAUCCCUAACCUCCCGUAACCUUACAAAGUCGCUAAACAUACUGCAUUUUGCCAUACGUAUACUUGCCAGGUUGAAAAAUGCUGCUUUCCUCAGUAGACGUAGUGUUUUUGAGCGCAGGCAACACCAAACAAAGGCUUUAAACCUCUCCAAUGCCCCCUUGAAAUCCGUCUGCUCCGACAGAUGAUCAGCAUCGUACUUGCACUGUACACACUCACUGAAGUCUGACACGACCACACUUCACUGAUUUUAUUUAAAAUAAGAAAAAUGUGACCGGGGGAGAGCGUCCUUUGGGAACGGGCGUCUAAUUGCUGCUCUUCUACAGUUUGAGUCCAUAGCGAACCGCGGUGUACUGUACCGGCCGGUCGACGGCCGGCAACAGGGCAACACGUACUACGACUACAUGUACUCCGAAGUGCUGUGAUAUUUGUGGCGGAGAGAGGAUGCUCGAGUCAGUUUUCCUCGGAGAUGUCACUCCUGUUCGUUUCGUGCAACUGAUUUGUCACCACCUGCUAACCAGUAUCUUCAGUUCAAACUUCUUCACCAUACAAAUUCAAUGAAUCGACUGACAACCAAAUGUUUGCUGAGCUUCGACAAUUGCCAUCAGACAAGACCCCUAAACAAUCAAGAGCAAAUGUGACUAAGAACUGCACCUCGAAAAGAAGACUGAUGUACGUCUUUCAAAGGGGAUCGUCGUUCUCUAUUGCUUUACCAUGAUGGAUACAUUAAUGCGAGUGGUUGUGAUUAAUAUUGCUGCUAUGCAAGUUGCCUCCUUGUUUAACAAAUCAAAAUGUAUGUUUUUUGUCAAGUUGUCCGGGUAUGUCUCAUUGCGUCUGCUGUUAUUUUCUCAACAUCCCUCUUCGCUUGCCUUAAAUGAAUUUUUUAGUCUAGUUAUAAUUGUGUUCAGUGUACCUUUGCUUGAACUGUGAUUUCUUUAAAUAGAAAUUAAUUAAAAGAGUGCUUGGUUGUGAAAGAAAUGCAAUCACCUCGAGUUUACCUUAAAGAUAUUAAUCACUUGCUCAUUACUUAUUAGCCUCUCUCAAAAUCAAGUACUGUAAUAUCUUAUCAGAGAGUCAUUUGGCGCUUCAUGUUAUACCUAUUUGCCCCUUCUGUAUGCUGACUUUCAAAGCGCUUUCAGCCCACCCCUGUGUGUAGUUCAUAAUUUUUGUCUUCUUUUUUUUCCAAAUUAAAAAAUAUAUUCACUCCCCUAAAGCUA